GAGCGGUAGAGAGAAGCUUGCUUCUCUUGAGAGCGGCGGACGGGUGAGUAAUGCCUAGGAAUCUGCCUGGUAGUGGGGGAUAACGUUCGGAAACGAACGCUAAUACCGCAUACGUCCUACGGGAGAAAGCAGGGGACCUUCGGGCCUUGCGCUAUCAGAUGAGCCUAGGUCGGAUUAGCUAGUUGGUGAGGUAAUGGCUCACCAAGGCGACGAUCCGUAACUGGUCUGAGAGGAUGAUCAGUCACACUGGAACUGAGACACGGUCCAGACUCCUACGGGAGGCAGCAGUGGGGAAUAUUGGACAAUGGGCGAAAGCCUGAUCCAGCCAUGCCGCGUGUGUGAAGAAGGUCUUCGGAUUGUAAAGCACUUUAAGUUGGGAGGAAGGGUUGCUGAUUAAUACGCGGGAGUUUUGACGUUACCGACAGAAUAAGCACGGGUAACUCUGUG
rnacentral:rRNA from 1 species